AAGGGCUUAACCAACAUGUAACCAUUGUUUUUCUUGUGCUUUUAUAGUUUUUUUAUUCUGUCAUUAUGCUUAGUUUUUUUUUGUUUCUGAAAUACCAUGAAAUGCCCAUCUUUUUAAAGUUCAAUCUAUGGAGUAGAGAAUUUGGAUUUUACAUGUAGCCAUUGUGAGGGAUAUCCCAUGUGUCCUUUUAAUUCUGCUGGAAACACAUCUCCAUUUUUCCUUUCACGUUUUUCUUUUUCUGAGUAAACACAUCUCCAUUUUUCCUUUCUCUCCAGUACAGAUUUCCUUCACUCUCCAACACAAAUUUCCUUUUCUCUCCAACACAGAUCUGUCUGGCAAAAUACUGAACCGCUAAGGUGAACUGACCUCCUCUAUUAUUUCUAUCACGUUACAAAGAACAAUCCUUGUAAUGGGAUUGAAAUUAAAGAGCAGGUCAGCUUGUUUUAUUAGUGAAACAAGAGUUUUAACAAUGAAUCAUGAGAUUCUUGUUCAAGUUGUGUUUUACUUUAUUUUCUUUCCAUAUUGGUUUUCUUCUCUUGAUUUAAUAUCUCUCUGGCAUUUAGAAAAAGAAAAAGUGAAUGUUAAGAAAACUAUUCACAAAUUAUUAAUACCUUUUAUUUUCUGUUUUCUAUAAUAAUUGUUGAUACCUGGAAUUUUAAAGAAAUAAAAAUUUAAACUUUUAUGCGAAUGGGUUAAUUUUCUUGAAGCUUCUCGGGCUAGGUUUUAUUCCUUUGCAGUUGAUUAGAAUAAUCUUCAUAAAUUGAUGCUCUUCUGUUGUAUUCUUCCAUGCUUUUUUUGCUUCAUUUUAUUUUGUUUUGUGUCAGUUACCACCCAUCAUCUAAUAAACCAUCAUAACAGGUCAGAAUUUGUUUUAUACCAAUAACUUCGUUUCCGUUUUCUGUUUUGAUAUUUUAAUUAAGAUGUUAUAUGCUGCCCAAUAUUUUCUUUAUUAACAUAGAACAGAAGUCCAAUAACAGUGCAAUGUUAAAGGUAUAAAAAGUUAAUCAUGAAGUGGCAACACGAUUAUUACGUAUUUGAAUUUCUCGAAAGUUGGGAUAGACCCUUUCCAAAAGAUAGAGAAUUCUACAUUCUGAUACACUAAAAUACCACAGAAUACAUUCUACACAAUAAUAUAAUCUGUGCCGAAUUUUGAUCAUAAUUUGGAUUAACUGAUAUAGAACUAGUAUUGAUCUUGGCCAGGAGUAUCCCAUUCUUGCUGCUGGAAAAAUAAAUUUUUCUUGGGUACUACUUCUAUGCUUGGCAGGUAUCUCUUGGUGAUGGACAUCAUAUCAAAAUAGAUACCUUUUUCUUAUCUGUUAAGUCGCCCGUAUUUUUCUUAUCUGUUAUGUGGCCAGUAUUGAAGAUUGAUAGAUGUCCAUCACCAUCGCCCAGUAUAUCUCUUAGUCUUCAGGCUGAACACAAAUACUGACGACUUAACAUAUAAGAAAAAGUAUCUCUUGAGACACAGCCCAUUACACUACGGAUUAUCUCCUCCAAGAAUACUACCCGUGUAUUUGCUGCAUCUGAUCGGCCGAUUGUGAUCUAUAGUAGUAACAAGAAAUUUCUUUAUACUAAUGUAAAUAUGAAGGAAGUGAGUCACAUGUGUCCUUUCAAUUCUGCUGCUUUUCCAGACAGGUAUCUUGGUCCUUCAGUUAGUUUGGCUUCCUAAAAUUAUUGACAUAUCUGGCUUGGGCUGGUCUUGUAUCUUGUAUUGUACAUUAAUGUAAAUGUCAUGGUACUCAUUACACACUGUUCAUAAUUUCCAACAGUUUGGCGAUUGGAAAGAAGGUGAGCUUACUAUUGGCACUAUUGAUGACAUACAAAAACUACAUAUACGCUCCAUUCCGCAUCCGCUUGGAGAGCAAGCUUCGUAUAUCUGCCACCAGGAGCAAUCUAGGACUUUUGCUAUUUGUAGUGUGAAAUACAACCCAACGAGUGGUGAAGACUCUGCAUUUACUGGAUGACCAGACUUUUCAUUUGAAAUCAACUUAUUCUCUUGACGCAAAUGAAAAUAGUUGGUUUAUAAUUAGCUGCUCAUUCUCAGAUGAUAAUAAUGUUUAUUACUGUGUUGGAACUGCAUAUGGGUUGUGUUAGGACCCACGAUGAUAAGAUAGUUUGGAUUUAGGACCGAACGGUCAUGGGUGUGGAAGGUUCUGUUGUAGAGAGGAAUGGGUCAGAACUGCUAUAAAUAGAGCUCUUGUAAUGCUGUGAGGGGGAUCGAAUAUACUCUUUGUACAGUCCGGCUUUUAGCUUGGGUAGAGAGGGGUUAUGUCCUCAGUGAGGGAGGUUAUGCUCCCAACCUAUUCUUUGUAUAGAUAGACUUCUUUCACAGUAAAUAAUACAGAAAACUCAUUUUUUCUUUAUGUUUCGAUCUUUUGAGUGAGUUAACCUAACAUCUUGAGAACCAAGAGAAGUAAGUUGAUAAAUUUGUAUUUUUUUUCCCCGCAUUGUUCUAUUAAAAGCUUCUAAUUCCUGCUUACUUUCCCCAUUUUUAAAACAUGUAGGGUAGAAUUCUUGUUUUUACUGUUGAAGAUGGAAAACUACAGCUAAUUGCUGAGAAGGAUACAGAAGGUGUUGUGUAUUGCUUGAAUGCAUUUAAUGGUAAAUUACUUGCUGCUACUAAUAAAAAAAUCCAGCUGUACAAGUGGGUGCUACAUGAUCAUGGAACCCAUGAAUUGCAGUUUGAAUGUGGAAAUCAUGGACACGGCCUAGCUCUUUAUGUGGAAACUAGAGGAUAUUUUAUUGUAGUAGGUGAUCUGUUGAAGUCUAUUUUCUUGUUAAUCUACAAGCAUGAAGGUGUUAUUGAGGAAAUAGCUCGUGACUACAAUGUAAAUUGGAUGUCGGCUGUUGAAAUCCUUGACGAUGACAUUUACCUGGGUGCAGAAAAUAAUUCUAAUCUGUUCACUGUUCGAAAAAAUAGUGAAGAGAAUUUGUUAAUCGGUUCGGCAUGGCUUCGUCCGAAUGCACUUGCCGGAUUCUGAUGCUGGGCAGAUUCCAACAGUUAUCUUUGGUACCAUUAAUGGUGUUAUUGGGGUAAUUACCUCUCUUCCCCACGAGCAAUAUGUUUUCUUGGAGAAACUUCAUUCAAAUUUGAGGAAGGUAAUUAAAGGUUUUGGAGGGCUCAGCCAUAAGGAAUGGAGGUCGUUUAACAAUGAGAAGAAAACUGUUGAAGCCAGAAACUUUUUGGAUCGAGAUUUGAUUGAAUCAUUUCUGGAUCUCAACCGCAGUAGGAUGGAUGAAAUUUCCAAGGCAAUGGAUGUUUCUGUAGAGGAGUUAUGCAAAAGAGUAGGUUUCUUUUUAUGCAUUUGCAUUAUUCUAGUUCCUUUAACCUUUAAGAUCAAAUUAGCUUGUUUUCUUUGAAAAACUGCUACAUAUUAUUUCAGAAGAUACCAGAACGCUUACUUUUGAAUAAGCAAUAACGCUGAGUUGGUAUAUAUAGUAAAGUAGCUUCAUACUUUGGAUUAUAUUCCUGAUGUCCAUACUGAUUUUAAAAGAGAAAUCUCUUCAGGCGAAGGAAAAUGUGUUUAUUCUACAUCUGGGUAUGUAUGAGAUCAUAGCAUAAAUCCUUGUUUGGUCGAAACUGUUGUGGUGUUAGUGGUUUCAUACUUUUGGAUCUGACUAUUGUCGGUGAAACUGGACAAAAGGAAAAUGGAAUUAGAGGAAGGUAGGGAAUGUAGUUUUGGUAGCAUUUUAUAAUUGUGUUUUUGUCGCUAAGGUAUUCUCUAAUUGUGCAAAUAAUCUCUUUUCUGAAGUUUAAUCUGUACAUUAUUCUUAAUAUUUUUUUCCUCUCUUUUUACUGCCUCGAUGACCCUGCUUAGACUGAUUUAAAAAAUGUUUUCGUUAAAAAUAA